AAUAAAAUGUAGAUUUCAAUUCUCCAGUCAAAUAUAACUCAUAUUCCUGAGAUGGUUUUGCCUAAAUUAUUGAAGUUCUAUGUUCUCCAAUUUCUUCCCACACAAAACUGUUGGUUUAAAAGCAUCAUCAAAAAAAUGACCAUCAUCAAGAGCCACAUGUUUAAAUAGUUCUGUGUCAAAGAAAUGGAUACUUUGUUUUCAAUGUCUAAUUAUAGAGGGGUUUUUUUUUUCACAGUUUCUCCAAGGCAAUGGAUUACAAAAGGGAAUUAUUUAUACUGAUUACUGCAUAUGACUACAGCUGCAUCAUGAGCCACUCUCUCGGUCCCACUCUUCUGGGGAAUAGGAAAAGGAAAGAGAAGAAAAAUAACAAGAAGAAGAAACACAGAAGAACAAUUAGAAAAGAAAAUUUACUGAAGAAGAAAUUCAGUACCUCAAACAGGCUCAUGAGAAGAAUGAAACUUGUUCCCUAAAGAUUUGAAUUGCACAAAUGGAAUGUAGCAUCUUCACAAGAGAGCAGGGAUUAAAAAACAAAUUCAAGAGAAUUAAAAAAAAAACCAACAUUCCUGGAAAAUCAACCAUCCUGGGAAAUAGAUCCAGGAGAUAUAUGAAUCUAAGAUCAAUGGAUUGAGGGAAAACCAUGAUAAAAAUGAACUUUAACACCAUAUUGAAAGAAAUUGCCUUGAUAUUUUUAAUAAGAUCAGAAAAUAGAAAUUUAAAGGAUCUACAGAUCUACAGAUAAAAGUCACAAAUUUUUUGAAUUCUAGGAUUAUUAUAGGCAAAUCCUAGCAAUCCCAAGUCCAGAAGAAAAUACUACAAGCAGCCAGAAAAAGAUCAAAUAUUGUAGAACCAUGGUCAGAAUUACCUAAGAACUAGCCACUUCUCUAUUAAUGGAGCAGAAGAUAAGGAAUAUGAUAUUCUGCAAAGCAAAAUUCCUUGGCCUACAAUCAAAUAUCUUAGUAUCAGAAAAACUAAGCAUAGUACUUCAGGUUAGGAAAUGUACAUUGAAUGGAAUAUUGGAUUUCUAGGUAUUCAUGAUGAAAAUGGUCAGAGCCAAAAAAAGAAAAUUUGAUGAUCAAAUUUGACAAUAAAAAUAAUUUUUAAAAGUUAACAUUAAAGAAACUCUCAAGGGAAUUGGUGGAGUUAAAAUAAUCACAUUCCUGCAAAAGAAAGUGGUAACUCAGAUUCUUCAUAUUUAUAUAGUACAAGAGAUUCCUAAAGUACUUCCUAAAGUACUUAAUUUACUUGAACCAAUCAAGGGAAAUAAUGGACUGAAACUUGUUACAUUAUUAGUAAGAAGGUUAAAACUAAGAUGCUUAAGAUAUCUAUGAUACUUAAAAGUACCUAAAACUAUGUAAAGUAUUUAGGAUACAUAUGAUGCUGAAGAUUCUUAAGAAUUUUAUUUCUAUUAGGGCAAUGAAUAAGAACAUAUAUACACAAAGAACAGGGAGUAAUUUGAAUAUAAUGGGAUUUUUUAAGUUAGGGGAUGAAAAGAGUAAUAACACACUGUAGAAAAAGAAAGGAAGAGAUAGUUGGGAGUAAAUUAUCUUGCAUUAGGUGGCAUAAAUGAAUCAAAAUUGUAGAAAGGAAAAUGAGUUGCUAGAAGGUAAUGAUUGAAACUUACUCUCAUAACAUAAUUGAAAUAACAUCCACAUUCAGUAAGGUAUAUAAAUAAAUCUUACCCAAGAGAAAAGAGAGUAAUAAAGUUGGGUUAAAAAAAAUGAGACACACUUUUGAUCCAGGAGGCACAACUUUGAUCCAGCCAUAGUAUUUCUGGGUCUGUAUCCCAAAGAGAUAAUAAGGAAAAAGACAUGUACAAGAAUAUUCAUAGCAGCGCUAUUUGUGGUGGCAAAGAAUUGGAAAAUGAGGGGAUGCCCUUCGAUUGGGGAAUGGCUGAACAAAUUGUGGUAUAUGUUGGUGAUGGAAUACUAUUGUGCUCAAAGGAAUAAUAAAGUGGAGGAAUUCCAUGGGAACUGGAACAACUUCCAGGAAGUGAUGCAGAGUGAGAGGAGAAGAACCAGGAGAACAUUGUACACAGAGAAUAAUACACUGUGGUACAAUCGAAGGAAAUGGACACCUCUAUUGGUGGUAAUGCAUUGAUCUUGAACAACCCAGAGAGGUACAGUAGAAAAAACAAUAUCCACAUCCAGAGGAAAAACUGUAGAAGUAAAAACACUAAAGAAAAAGUACUGCUUAAUGACAUGGGUCGAAGGGGAUAUGAAUGGGGAAAUAGACUCCAAAUGAACAUCCUAUUGCAAAUACCAACAACACGGAAAGAAGUUCUGAUCAAGAACACAUGCGAUACCCAAUCAAACUUCGUGUUGGCUUUGGGAGGGGUAGGGGAAAGGGAGGGAGGAAAAGAAAAUGACUUUGUAACCAAGGAACAAUGUUUGAAAUUAAAAAUUAAAAAAAAGAUAAAAGGAGGCAGAGACAAAAAAAAAGGAAUUUAUGGGAACAAGUAAACUGAAGCAAAAAAAAAUUAUGAAUGAGGUAUAUAUAAUAUAAAAGGUGUAAAAAGAGAUGGAUAAACCAGGGGAAAAUAAUUGGAGGAAAACAGUUAAUAAUUUGAACUCUAAAUAUGAAGGGAUGAAUUCAUCCAUAAAAUGUAAGAGGAUAGAAAAAUCUAUUUAACUCAGAAUCCCAUAAUAUGCUGACUAAAAGAUAUUCAUUUAAAGCAGGGAGACAGAACAAAGGUAAAAGGCCAGAGCAAAAUUUACUCUGCUUCAGCUUAAGUUAACAAAAUAGUACUAUUAUAAGAAGAGAAAAGAAAAAAUUGAUGAGCAAUAUUGUUUCAGAAAAUUCUGGGUAGACAUAUGAAUUCAUGCAAAGGAAAGUAAGCAAAGCCACAAGUACAUUGUAUAAAGAAAUAGAAUUUUUAGGAUGAUCAACUGUGAAAGACUUAGUUAGCUGCUUUGAUCAAAGCAAAGUAUCCAAGAUAAUUCAAAAGUACCCAGGAUGAAAAAUGCCAACCAUUUGCAGAGAGAAAAAUUAUGAACUCUGAAGCACAGUUUUUAAAUUUUAUUUUAUUUAUCUAUUAUUUAUUUAUUUAUUUAAUUUAAGAUUGGGUAUGCAUUUCUUCUUUUGCAAAAUGACUAAUAUGGAAACAUGUUUUUCAUCACUUUACAUGUAUAAUUGAGGUAAAAAUUAUCACCUUGUCAAUUAGGGGGAAGGGAGCCAUGAAGAGAAUUUGGAACUCAAAAUAACUAACAUCAAAUCUUAAAAAAAUUAAUGUAAUGGAGAAAUAUUAAACAAAUUAAAAUAUGUUUAAAAUAAUAUGAACUAUUCCCCAGUUGAUAAAUCAUCAAAGGAUAUGAAUAUAUAGUUUUUUGAUUAAUAUUUCAAAGACAUUUAUAAUUAUAUGAAAAAAUGUUCUAUGCCAUUACUGAUUAGAGAAAUGCAGAUCAAAACAACUCUGAUUACAGUAAUGAAAAUGAAAGUAAAACACACCUGUAACAUUGUAUAAAAUUAUAAAAGGGCAAAAUGACAAAUAUUGGGGGGGAAUUGGAAAAAAAUAAAGACAUUAAUGCAUUGUUGUUGAAAUUGCCAAUCAAUCUAAAUGUUUUGGAGAACAAUCUGGAGUUCUGUUCAAAGAGUUAUAAAACUGUAUACCUUUUGAUUCAGCAAUAUCAUUAUUGGGUUUAUUUUCUAAAGUAAUCAAGAAAAAGGUAAAGACCUGUAUAUUCUAAAACAUCAUGAUAGAAAAAAUAUAAAGGCGUAUAUGAAGUGAUGCAAAGUGAAAUGAAGAGAACAAGGAGAGUAUUAAAAACAAUGAAGUAUGAUGAUCUAUUAUGAAUGAAUUGACUAUUAUCAAUAAGGUAAGAAUCCAGGACAAUUCUAGGGGAUUCAAAACAAACAAACAAACAAAAGGGUAUUCACCACUAUAGAAGGCACUGGUGGAGUUUGAAUACAAAUUUAAACAUGGCAUUCUUCAUUUUAUUUCAUCCAUAAAUUUUUUUUAGUAUAAUCAGUAUGUGUCUUGUUUCACGACAUGACUAAUAGAAAAAUAUAUAUCAUCUAAUGUAAAAGGGGAUACUUAAGCACACUGUGAAAUGGGAGUUAAACGGCAUAAGAGAUUGUAUGGAUGGUUGACUGGGGUUUUACAUAACCUAGCCGGAUUAAGGUGUCCUCCCCAGAGGCAGAGUGCUAACCCUCAACUCAAUGACAGUUGACUGGGAAUUUGGCUCAACCCAGUCUAGGUAAAAUCCUCUUCUCCAGGAUAAACUCAAAAGACUGCUUCUCCCCCUUAAUGGUUCAGUUUGAUGAAUAUGACUGCUUCUCAGUGAUGAUUAAUUUAUUUGUAUAAAGUAAAUAGGGAUAGGAUCAGGAAAGAGGAUGGAAGGUUUCCCUAAACUAAUGAAACAAACAUCAAUGUCAAGUCUUGUCAGUCCUCAGUUAAAGCCGAGGCCAAUUUGAAUCUCCUCUUUAUCUAGAGUUUUUUUCUAUGUUGUCUAACCAUAGUCUAAUCCAGAAAAGGAAUGUCUUUAGAUUUUUGGUGAAGCAGAUGAGAAGUCAAGAAUUAGGGGCGAUUCUGUCUACCUCAGUGAAUAAGCCCUGAAGGUAAACUAAGCAGUACAAAUCUGCUCCCUCUUUGGUCUUGGUCUUCUCAGCAUGACAAGAAUAAUUUCAGGAUUCUGCAGAUCUCAGGUCAAUAGGAAAAUCCUUGGCAGGGCUGGGUUUCACUUCCAAGGGCUAGGGUAAGGGUCUCCAAGUUGCCUCUCUCCUCAGAGUUCAUGAGCAACUCCCCCUGAAGCUAGCAGUUGAACUCUCAGCAACCCCCUUUUCCAAGAUUCCAAGCAGGUUCUCUUCUAUCACUGCUCCAUGGCAUUCUAUGGAACUUCCUUGCAAACUCAUUUCUUUUGCAAAAUACCAUGUCUCACUAAUAAUUGAUGUACAAUCCAUAAUGCCUGUCUUUUUUGGGAAAGGUGAUAGUAGAGAGAGGAGGGAAAAAUGAGAAUGAGAUACAGAAUUUUGGAUAUAGCUAAUGUGAGAAUUUGUUUCCUUUGAAUAAGUAUGUAUAUACAUUACAUGUUAUAAGGAAUAAUAAAAAAUAAAUUAUAAAAAUUAGAAUUGAUCAAAAGUGAUUUAAUGACUGUGAUAUCAAGAAAAAAGAAAUAAAGUUAAAAGAAUGAAAUCGA